UACGUAGGUGGCAAGCGUUGUCCGGAUUUACUGGGCGUAAAGGAUGCGUAGGCGGACAUUUAAGUCAGAUGUGAAAUCCCCGAGCUUAACUUGGGUGCUGCAUUUGAAACUGGGUGUCUAGAGUGCAGGAGAGGUAAGUGGAAUUCCUAGUGUAGCGGUGAAAUGCGUAGAGAUUAGGAAGAACACCAGUGGCGAAGGCGACUUACUGGACUGUAACUGACGCUGAGGCAUGAAAGCGUGGGGAGCAAACAGG
rnacentral:rRNA from 1 species